UGGGGAAUAUUGGACAAUGGGCGCAAGCCUGAUCCAGCCACGCCGCGUGAGUGAUGAAGGCCUUCGGGUCGUAAAGCUCUGUGGGGAGGGACGAACGUCCGGGUGAAGAAUCCGGGGUGACGGUACCUCCUUAGCAAGCACCGGCUAACUUCGUGCCAGCAGCCGCGGUAAUACGAAGGGUGCAAACGUUGCUCGGAAUCAUUGGGCGUAAAGCGCACGUAGGCGGCCCUAUAAGUCGGAUGUGAAAUCCCUCGGCUCAACCGAGGACGUGCAUCCGAAACUGUAGGGCUCGAGUAUGGAAGAGGGUCGCGGAAUUCUCGGUGUAGAGGUGAAAUUCGUAGAUAUCGGGAGGAACACCAGUGGCGAAGGCGGCGACCUGGGCCAAUACUGACGCUGAGGUGCGAAAGCGUGGGGAGCAAACAGG
rnacentral:rRNA from 1 species